GAUGAACGCUGGCGGCGUGCCUAAUACAUGCAAGUCGAGCGAACAGAUAAGGAGCUUGCUCCUUUGACGUUAGCGGCGGACGGGUGAGUAACACGUGGAUAACCUACCUAUAAGACUGUGAUAACUUCGGGAAACCGGAGCUAAUACCGGAUAACAUAUUGAACCGCAUGGUUCAAUAGUGAAAGGCGGCUUUGCUGUCACUUAUAGAUGGAUCCGCGCCGUAUUAGCUAGUUGGUAAGGUAACGGCUUACCAAGGCAACGAUACGUAGCCGAACUGAGAGGGUGAUCGGCCACACUGGAACUGAGACACGGUCCAGACUCCUACGGGAGGCAGCAGUAGGGAAUCUUCCGCAAUGGGCAAAAGCCUGACGGAGCAACGCCGCGUGAGUGAUGAAGGUCUUCGGAUCGUAAAACUCUGUUAUCAGGGAAGAACAAAUGUGUAAGUAACUGUGCACAUCUUGACGGUACCUGAUCAGAAAGCCACGGCUAACUACGUGCCAGCCGCCGCAGUAA
rnacentral:rRNA from 1 species